rnacentral:pre_miRNA from 1 species
AAUAAUCAUAUUUUUCGUUUUUUCGUGUCCAACGUUUAACUAUUCCUCUUAUUUAAAAUUUUUUUAUAAUUAAUAUUUUUAUUGUCACUAGAUGAUAAAAUAUGAAUAUUACUUUAUACAUGACUAAUUUUUUAAAAUUUUUUAAAUAAGACGAAUGGUCAAAUAUUUGAUAGAAAAAACGA